rnacentral:rRNA from 1 species
ACUCCUACGGGAGGCAGCAGUGGGGAAUAUUGCACAAUGGGCGCAAGCCUGAUGCAGCCAUGCCGCGUGUAUGAAGAAGGCCUUCGGGUUGUAAAGUACUUUCAGCAGUGAGGAAGGUGGGUAUGUUAAUAGCAUACUCAUUUGACGUUAGCUGCAGAAGAAGCACCGGCUAACUCCGUGCCAGCAGCCGCGGUAAUACGGAGGGUGCGAGCGUUAAUCGGAAUUACUGGGCGUAAAGCGCAUGCAGGUGGUUUGUUAAGUCAGAUGUGAAAGCCCGGGGCUCAACCUCGGAAUUGCAUUUGAAACUGGCAAACUAGAGUACUGUAGAGGGGGGUAGAAUUUCAGGUGUAGCGGUGAAAUGCGUAGAGAUCUGAAGGAAUACCGGUGGCGAAGGCGGCCCCCUGGACAGAUACUGACACUCAGAUGCGAAAGCGUGGGGAGCAAAACAGGAUUAGAUACCCGGGUAGGCUCUGC